AUCUUGUCUGCCCAGCUUCCCGUAGCCAUCCUCGCCUGCCUUCUCGCGCUGUUUCUAGCUCUCGCCAUCCCUCGGCGUACUCUUCCUCUCCUCCGAGUCAGAGUACCCUGGAGGGAUAAUGCUCUGCAGUUAUGAAAGUUUCUUUGUCUUUCUUUACGGAUCAUUAUGCUGCCAAGGCUGAGUUUACUGUUUGCUGUUACAAGAAGGAUUGUGCUUCAGUGAAAAGAAGAUGGAUUUUGAAUGUGAGGACUGGUGUUAAAAUCUAAUUCAGUUACCGCCUAGCUGUGUUAUC
rnacentral:lncRNA from 1 species